rnacentral:rRNA from 1 species
GACGAACGCUGGCGGCGUGCUUAACACAUGCAAGUCGAACGGAAAGGCCCUGCUUUUGUGGGGUGCUCGAGUGGCGAACGGGUGAGUAACACGUGAGUAACCUGCCCUUGACUUUGGGAUAACUUCAGGAAACUGGGGCUAAUACCGGAUAGGAGCUCCUGCUGCAUGGUGGGGGUUGGAAAGUUUCGGCGGUUGGGGAUGGACUCGCGGCUUAUCAGCUUGUUGGUGGGGUAGUGGCUUACCAAGGCUUUGACGGGUAGCCGGCCUGAGAGGGUGACCGGCCAAAUCGGGCCUGGGAUACGGCCCAGACUCCAACGGGAGGCAGCAGUGGGGAAUAUUGCAUAAUGGGAGGAAGCCUGAUGCAGCAACGCAGCGCGCGGGAUGACGGCCUUCGGGUUGUAAACCGCUUUCGCCUGUGACGAAGCGUGAGUGACGGUACUGGGUAAAGAAGCACCGGCUAACUACGUG